UGAAUUCAUAAUAUUGGUAUUAAUUUAUAAUUAAUUAAUGCAAAAUUACAUUCACCAAAAAAAUUAAGAAAAAAUUUUUGAACCAAAAAGAAGAAGUGAGACAGCUACGUAGAUCAGAAAUGGUUCAAAAUUCAUGGUAAAUCCUCAGAAAAUAACCAAAAAAAUUAAGAGAACAUGAAUAAAGAGCAAAAGAUAACUUGAGUUGUAAGAUAUUAUUGCCUAUAAGCUUGAAUCUAAUUAAUAAUAUAAUUGAAGGUCUUAACUCCCAAUACCACCGAUGAACAGCAAUAAAAGUUUUCAAUCAUCAUUAUUCAUUCAUCAAGCUCCAAGGGCUUGAAAUAUUUGCCAUCUAUGAGAUAGGUUCCAAUGCUUAGACGAACUGCCCACACAUCCUUGGGCUUUCUUGACACAAUUCUGUCCAUAAAAUUAUUCAAAAAUCAAUAAGCAUUAAAUAUACAACAAAACCAAUAUUCAAGAGAUUGAGGUGAAGAUUAUUUGAAGGGUUAUAUAUGAACCUUCCCACAUCACCAGGCUUCACUAACCCAGAAUUAACUCUGAGGCAUGGCAUCGACGCAGCAGUCUUGAUCAUUUUGGGAGCCUCGGUAACGACAAUAGGAGAUCCUAUGUCAAGUUUUGUGAUUUUUGCUGGCAGACUUGUCUCUGAUGAUGAUGAUUCUUUGGAUUCACAUUUAGUACUGAGGUUCCAAUUGGAGCUUGGAUUCCCAGAAUUAGAGUUGGUGAAUUGCAGGACUGAGUGAUGGAGUUUCUGGCCUGGAAAUGUGGAGAUGGACGACACAGAAAAUGCCAUGAGAAGUGAGGUCGGUGUUUGUGAAAUGGGAUAAAAUUUGUAUGGUUCAGAGGAUGCGGCGCGUAUAGAUAAA
rnacentral:misc_RNA from 1 species